GGUGGUUCAGUGGGCAAAACACAGGACUUGCAAGCAUGAGACCCUGGGUUCAAUCCCCAGCACCA
rnacentral:tRNA from 1 species